CCUACGGGUGGCUGCAGUGGGGAAUAUUGGACAAUGGGCGAAAGCCUGAUCCAGCCAUGCCGCGUGUGUGAAGAAGGCCUUCGGGUUGUAAAGCACUUUCAGUGGGGAAGAAAGCCUUGGGGCUAAUACCCUCGAGGAAGGACAUCACCCACAGAAGAAGCACCGGCUAACUCCGUGCCAGCAGCCGCGGUAAUACGGAGGGUGCGAGCGUUAAUCGGAAUUACUGGGCGUAAAGCGCGCGUAGGCGGUCUGAUAAGCCGGUUGUGAAAGCCCCGGGCUCAACCUGGGAACGGCAUCCGGAACUGUCAGGCUAGAGUGCAGGAGAGGAAGGUAGAAUUCCCGGUGUAGCGGCGAAAUGCGUAGAGAUCGGGAGGAAUACCAGUGGCGAAGGCGGCCUUCUGGACUGACACUGACGCUGAGGUGCGAAAGCGUGGGUAGCAAACAGGAUUAGAUACCCCAGUAGUC
rnacentral:rRNA from 1 species